rnacentral:rRNA from 1 species
AACGUAGGUGGCGAGCGUUAUCCGGAUUUACUGGGCGUAAAGGGUGUGCAGGCGGGCUGUUAAGUGGUGUAUGAAAUCGCCCGGCUCAACUGGGCGGGGUCGGCGGAUACGGCCGAGCUGGAGCAAGCUAGGGGGUAAUGGAAUUCCCGGUGUAGUGGUGGAAUGCGUAGAUAUCGGGAGGAACACCAGUGGCGAAGGCGGUUACCUGGAGCUUUGCUGACGCUGAUGCGCGAAAGCGUGGGGAGCGAGUCCGG